AACCAACCUCUGAUCAGAGAUGAUGAAGUCCAGGGCUAGUCAGACUUGGAGGGAGGUCUGAGAAAAACAUGGAUCUGCUCGAAAUAGAGAAAAAGUCAGAGCUGAAAAGCAUGGAAUUCAGUAAUUCUAGCACACACAAUAUUUUGGACACAUUUCCUCAGAUGCUCACGGUUCAAUUCACUAACUACUGCCUCUGGUGCUAUGAGGAGGCCUUACCAAAAUCUUAAGGGAAAAGCACCUGGUGAUUCGGUCAGCUGGGACUCCAACCCACCUCAGUGCACUAAAGAUGGCAACAGAAAUUGAAGUGAGAAUGAGCAGACUUCUUACCCUGUUUUAUUUUUUCAAGAAAAGAUGCCGUUUGUUUAAAAAUCACUUGCUGGAAUGCAGGCUGCUCAUCCACCGCAUGCUCCCAGUUUCACAUCUACUGUUGCCUUUGAGGAAUCAAAAUCUGCCACGUGGUGUCUGGCGAAACCUGCCCGAUUUUACUCUUCAUUACUUCUUGCAUGCCUGGGUGCUUAAAGAAGACCCCUCUUUUGAACAGCAGCUCACAGUCUGAUAAUAUUUCUCUUUGAAAAGUCAACAUACUAUCACUGUUUCGGAUUCAAUUAUACAGCGGGCUUUCUCUGCAUGGUAUGCAAGUGCUGUAUUUAGGUUAUAUUAAAUUAUGUUUUAAUAACAUCCACUGGCUUUUUUUUAUCCACCUCAGCCUUUAAAAGUCUUAGCCCCUCCAAAGGGGGGGAGAAGAAGUUUAUUAAUGCAUCACUUCAGAAUUGUUUUUUAAUUGGAAACAUUUUGCAGAGAAAAGACCAUUAAUAAAAUUCGAUUCCAAAUC